UACGUAGGGUGCAAGCGUUGUCCGGAAUUAUUGGGCGUAAAGAGCUCGUAGGCGGUCUGUCGCGUCGGCUGUGAAAACUUGGGGCUCAACCCCAAGCCUGCAGUCGAUACGGGCAGACUAGAGUCCGGCAGGGGAGACUGGAAUUCCUGGUGUAGCGGUGAAAUGCGCAGAUAUCAGGAGGAACACCGGUGGCGAAGGCGGGUCUCUGGGCCGGAACUGACGCUGGAGGAGCGAAAGCGUGGGGAGCGAACAGG
rnacentral:rRNA from 1 species